AUGAACGCUGGCGGCGUGCCUAAUACAUGCAAGUCGCGCGAACAGACGAGGAGCUUGCUCCUCUGACGUUAGCGGCGGACGGGUGAGUAACACGUGGAUAACCUACCUAUAAGACUGGGAUAACUUCGGGAAACCGGAGCUAAUACCGGAUAAUAUAUUGAACCGCAUGGUUCAAUAGUGAAAGACGGUUUUGCUGUCACUUAUAGAUGGAUCCGCGCCGCAUUAGCUAGUUGGUAAGGUAACGGCUUACCAAGGCAACGAUGCGUAGCCGACCUGAGAGGGUGAGCGGCAACAGUGACACGAAAACACGGCCCAGCCUCCUACGGGAGGCACCAGUAGGGAUUUUUCCGCAAUGGGCAAACGCCUGACGGAGCACCGCCGCGGGAUGGAGAAAGGUCUGCGGAUCGAAAAACUCUUUUAUGAGGGAAAAAAAAAUGGUUAAGUACCUAUGCACGUCUUGACGGUACCUAAUAAGAAACCCACGCCUAACUCCGUC
rnacentral:rRNA from 1 species